CAAUGUACAUUGGAACCAAGCCUGAAAUUAGCCCUGAGUGAAACAUGAACAUACAUGUUAAAGUGUAAUCAGGAUGACAUCAACAGCAGUAACUUUAAGUACAGUUAGCAUUCUUCCUGAGUUUAUUGGAAGGAAGAGCCCUUGUCACCAACCGCAGACACAAUUUAUGCAAAGAAUGUUGAUGAGACUCCAAAUGAGAUUUUAGUUGGAGAUAUAAAUAGAAAGAGAUGGUUAGUCAUUCAUCUGGCAAUUAUUCAUAGCAUUGUCUUUAUUUAGUUAAAAAAUUCAUGUUAAUAUUGAGUUUGUAUCAUAAUGCCUUAGGUUAUCUUCAGAAAAGAGACUGAAGAAUGCUUUAACAAUAUUCUUAAAAAUGUAGUAAUAUUCUUACUGUAAAAUCAUGGGAUUAAAGGAAAUUAGAACAUAUCUAUGCCAACCUCUUUACUUGAUAAAGGUGAGAAAUGACUUACCCAAGAUCACAGUGCAAUAGAGUGUUAGCAGGAGAACUACAAGCCCUUCUUGAGUUUCCACAAUGUGGAGGUGCCUCAAAGUCACACUUAAGAGUUGAGGGGCGGGGUGUGUAGAGAGGUGUUAGGGGUUAAGGGACUCAGGGGCUCUCCCCCCAAUUACUCCAACCAGAGCAACCUAGCUUCUUUAUUCUCUCUAAAUGAUGGGCUUCAGAAAAGAUUUUAUUUGAAUAAAGACUUCUGGUUCUUGCAUGCGUGCUAAGUCGCUUCAGUUGUGUCUGACUUCUUGCGAUCUUAUGGAUUGUAGCCUGCCAGUCUCCUCUGUCCAUGGGAUUCUCCAGGCAAGAAUACUGGAGCGGGUUGCCAUGUCCUCUUCCAGGGCAUCUUCCCAAGCCAGGGAUCGAACCCACAUUUCUUAUGUCUCCUGCACUGGCAAGUGGGUUCUUUACCACUAGGGCCACCUGGGAAGCCCUCUGAUGCUUAAAAGAAAACAAAAUUUUGCAAAGCUCUAGGCCUUUAGGACUUCUGUAGUUUUCCUAGAUGCAGAUGUAACCAGUCAUGUUGAAAAUGGUGGAUAAUCUAGCCAUUUGCUAAGAGCAUUAAAAGAUCAGAGACUAGUCAAUGAGCAAAACUGAAUGCAAUGUUUGGCAUUUUCUGAAAAUAAGAUUUGUCAGAGGCUUCCUCUUAGAUAUACUGUGGGCCUAUCAAAUGGAAAUGUAUGGUCUUUGUAUAAAAGAUGCUUUUGAGAAUUGUUUCAAUAUUUUUUUAAAGCUUCAAAUUGUUCUCAAUAGCCCAUGAACAUUUGCAUGGCUGAUACAGCAUCUAAAUUUCUGCUUUUACAUGCAACUCUACUGUGUGGUCUGUUGAUCUUAAAGAAGCAGGGGGAAAAAAAAUAAAUAAACAUUGUUUGGUCCUAUUCUGGGCUGUAGCAUUUUUGUUAAGUCCAAAUAUUAUAUCUCAAGAACAGAAAAUGCAGAUAAGCUUGCAAGUCUGAAGUCUUCAGUCUAAUGCUCUCUCCAACUGAGCUAUUUUGGCCACCUGGUCUAAAGUCUUAUGAACCCGAAAUCAAAUUGUAUUUUCUAUUAAUCUUUAUUAAUUUAUUUUCAUUAAUUUUUAGCUAUUUUAAUGCUCAUAAUAGGAUCAGACAUAAUUUUAGAAGAUGCUUGGAGAAUACAAGUUACUUAGUUAUGCUGGUAAUAGGUUGUUACUAUUUAUUUUCAAUUAUAACAUUUAUUUUCAAUUUUACUAAAAAUAGUUUAUAAUUUUUUUAUAUUUUUAAAAUAAUUUGUUAUAUUUUAUAAUUUUUUUCUUAUUGUAUUUCAAAAAGUAGAGAGAAAAUAAAGAAGAAUCUUGAUUUGGACCUCUUUGAUGGUGUUAUUAGUUGCAUUUUACAGUCAAGUGAAACUGAAUUUGAGUCUUCAAAACUGUAAGAAAACAAAUUUGUGUUGUCUUAAGCCACUAAGUUUGAAGUAAUUCAUUAGAGCAGCAAGGGGGAACUAAUACCGAGGAGCAAACCGAGCCUUCUAUUCAAUAACUAAGGCCAGACUGAGACAGUGCCAGAAUUGAUGCAUUCUGAAUCCAAAGCUCUUCCCAUAAGUGAGUUGCCUCUUUACCUGGACCAAGCUAUCAUUUCAGUUAUUUGUAUUAACAUUGAAAAUAACAAGAAGAGCCAUUUAAUUAAAUGAUCUUAGACAUUUAUUUUCAGUUUCCCUGGUAGCUCAGCUGGUAAAGAAUCUGCCUGCAAUGCAGAAGACCAGACUUGUGGUUCAACCAAUCAUUGAAGAUGCACAGAAUUGUAGUCUUUCCUCUUUUUCAGGUAUCUGACACUCUUCUUCCUGUUAAAUGGGAAAGUGAUAUACACAGAAACCUCCUUCAAAGUUCAAUCAAUGAUGAUAAAGCCAAUAAAAGAACCUAAGUGAAUAAAUGUGAAUGUUUGUCCCACAAAGAAAUUAACUUCAGAUAUGCAGAUAACACCCUUAUGGCAGAAAGUAAAGAGGAACUAAAGAGCCUCUUGAUGAAAGUGAAAGAAGAGAGUGAAAAAGCUGGCUUAAAACUCAGCAUUCAAAAAAAACUAAGAUCAUGGCAUCGGGUCCCAUCAUUUCAUGGCAAAUAGAUGGGGAAACAAUGCAAACAGUGACAGACUUUAUUUUCUUUGGCUUCCAAAUAACUGCAGGUGGUGAGUACAGCCAUGAAAUUAAAAGACGCUUGCUCCUUGAAAGAAAAGCUGUGACAAACCUAGGCAGCAUAUUAAAAAGCAGAGACGUUACUUUACCGACAAAGGUCCAUAUAGUCAAAGCUAUGGUUUUUCCAGCAGUCUUGUAUGGAUGUGAGAGUUGGACCAUAAAGAAGGCUGAGCACCCAAGAAUUGAUGCUUUUGCACUGUGGUGUUGGAGAAGACUCUUGAAAGUCCCCUGGACUGCUAGGAAAUCAAAUCAGUCAAUCCUAAAGGAAAUCAGUUCUGAAUAUUCACUGGAAAGACUGAUACUGAAGUUGAAGCUCCAAUACUUUGGCCACCUGAUGUGAAGAACAGACUCAUUGGAAAAGACCCUGAUGCUGGGAAAGAUUGAAGGCAGGAGAACAAGUGGACAACAGAGGAUGAAAUGGUUGGAUGGUAUCACCAACUCGAUGGACAUGAAUUUGAGCAAGCUCUGGGAACUGGUGAUGGACAGGAAAGCCUGGUGUGCUGCAGUCCAUGAGGUUGCAAACAGUUGGACAUGACUGAGCGACUGGACUGAGCUGAUGGGGGUGGAGGGAACGCCAAGAGCUUUAGUAUUUCACAUGACUAAAUGAAAUUUGGAUGUAAAGGAGUUCUACUGAUGUUUUUAAUCCAAAAACAGGAAGUUUCAAUCCAAAAUAGAAAGUUGAGGAAUGGAGAUACCACUUGCUUCAUUUGUGGUUGGGUUUUGAGACAGCAGUAGCAGCAACUAGAAACCCCCUAUCAAGUACAUCGGGCAACUGGGAGUUGGUGAUGUUGACUUAACCUUGCAGCUUGACUGA